GACGAACGCUGGCGGCGUGCUUAACACAUGCAAGUCGAACGGAAAGGCCCUGCUUUUGUGGGGUGCUCGAGUGGCGAACGGGUGAGUAACACGUGAGUAACCUGCCCUUGACUUUGGGAUAACUUCAGGAAACUGGGGCUAAUACCGGAUAGGAGCUCCUGCUGCAUGGUGGGGGUUGGAAAGUUUCGGCGGUUGGGGAUGGACUCGCGGCUUAUCAGCUUGUUGGUGGGGUAGUGGCUUACCAAGGCUUUGACGGGUAGCCGGCCUGAGAGGAUGACCGGCGACAUUGGGACUGAGAUGCGGCCCAGACUCCUACGGGAGGCAGCAGUGGGGAAUAUUGCACAAUGGGCGGAAGCCUGAUGCAGCAACGCCGCGUGCGGGAUGACGGCCUUCGGGUUGUAAGCCGCUUUCGCCUGUGACGAAGCGUGAGUGACGGUAAUGGGUAAAGAAGCACCGGCUAGCUACGUG
rnacentral:rRNA from 1 species